rnacentral:rRNA from 1 species
UCAGGUAGGACUACCCGCUGAACUUAAGCAUAUCAAUAAGCGGAGGAAAAGAAACUAACAAGGAUUCCCCUAGUAACUGCGAGUGAACCGGGAAAAGCUCAAAUUUUGAAUCUGGCGGUCUUU